CCUGCCUCCGGGGCCACUUAAGACAGAGCCAACAUUGGGACAACUGCUUCUCCUGAGCAUUUCUGGAGCAGAAGCUCUUCUCACAGAGGGAGGGACAGAGCGGGCAGCGGGCACCAUGGAGCCCCCUUUGGUCCUUCCCCGAGGAGGACGGGUCCCCUGGCAGGACCUCCUGCUGGCAGUCUCGCUCUUAACCCUCUGGAACUCGCCCACCACUGCCCAAGUCACUGUGGAGUCCGUGCCGCCCAGUGCUACCGAAGGGAAGGAUGUCCUUCUGCAAGUCCACAAUCUGCCUGCGGAUCUUGUAGGUCUUACUUGGUUUAGAGGGGAAAGCAUAGCGCCCAACCGUCAAAUUGUAGCAUAUGUAGUAGCCAUACAAGUAAAUAUCCCAGGACCUGCACACAGCGGCAGAGAGACAGUGUACCCCAACGGAUCCCUGCUCUUCCGGAACAUCACCCUGAAUGACACAGGAUACUACACCCUACAAACUGUGAAUAAAAAUGUUCAAGUUGAACAAGUAACUGGACAGCUCCGCGUAUUCCCGGAGUUACCCAAACCCCACAUCACAAGCAACAACUCCGACCCCGUGGAGAAUGUGGAUUCUGUGCUAUUAACCUGUGAACCUCAGACUCAGGACACGAGCUACCUGUGGUCAGAAAGCAGUAAGAGCCGCCCGGCCAGCACCAGGCUGGAGCUAUCCCUGGACAACAGGACUCUCACUAUACAUGGUGUCAUAAGGGAUGACACAGGACCCUAUGUGUGUGAAACUCGGAACCCAGUGAGUGACUGUCGUAGUGACCCAUUCACCCUGAAUGUUCUCUAUGGCCCGGAUGCCCCCUCCAUUUCCCCCUCAGACUCCUAUUACCAUCCAGGGGCCAACCUCAGUCUCUCCUGUCACGCAACCUCUAACCCGCCUGCACAGUAUUCUUGGCUUAUCAAUGGGAGGCCCCAGACAGACACACAGGAGCUCUUUAUCCCCAACCUCACUGUGAAUGAUAGCGGAUUCUAUACCUGCCUUGCCUCUAACUCUGGCACUCGCCUCAAGAAGACCACAGUCAAGACUAUCACAGUCUCUGAGGCAGUGUCCAAGCCCUCUAUCCAUGCCAGCAACACCACAGUCACAGAAGACAAGGACUCUGUGGCCCUGACCUGCUCCACAAACAACACUGGGGUCUCCAUUCACUGGUUCUUCAAUGGCCAGAGUCUAAAGCUCACGGAGAGGAUGACACUGUCCCAGGACAACAGCACCCUCACCAUACGCCCUGUCAGGAAGGAGGAUGCCGGGAAUUACCAGUGUGAGGUCUCCAACCCAGGCGAUUCCAGGAAAAGUGACCCUGUGAGGCUGGCUGUGAGCUAUGGAAGAAGCACCACAGGCCUCCCUAUGGGGUCCAUAAUUGGCAUUGCAAUCGGGGUCCUGGUCGGACUGGCACUAUAGUUCCCUCCUGGAGUGUCUCCUGCUCCACACAGUUUUCUCAGAGUUCCACAGAAUUUUCAAGACUGAUCGUCUCAAAACCAUACAAAUUCGUCCAUACAAUAGAGAGGGAAUAUUGCUCCAACUCAUUCUGAGACCACUGGCCUUAAGGAGUGAUGGACCAAACUUUCCCAGGAGAUAAGACCUGCCUAUAUUGGAAAACAGCUGCCCUGGGUGCCAGCAAGUCUUUUGAGUGUCAUGUCCACAUACUACCAGCUGCCUGCGCACCUGCUUCUCCUGCAUGCAACCACCCUCCUUUUUCUCAUGUUUUCCCCUUUAAACCACCCUCCAAUCCCAAGCCCCCUGGAUGGGGACCAUGAUCUUUGAAACAUUAGUCCCCCGUCUUCCCAGGAUGCUGGCUUCCUGUAUAAAGCAACCUUCCUCAUCUACCAUCACUUGUCCCUCUUGUGUUGAUUUUCAGGGUGUGAGCAGCCAAAUGUGAGUUUGCAGCCAGUCUCAGGUACCACCAGUAUGGCAGAAAGACAGAACAAUGGAACAGAACACAGAGCCCUCAACAAAUUCCUGUUUAUACGGUCAUCAGACCUUUGACAAGGGUGUCAAGAAUACACAGUGUGAAAGGAUAGUCUCUUCAGCAAACGAUGUUGGGAAAAGUGGGUAUCCACGUGGCCAAAGAACGAAAUUACACAUUUAAUUUACACAUACACAAAAAUCCACUCACAAUGAGUGAACAAUUUAUAAUAAGCCCCCAAACCAUAAAGUCAUGAAAGAAGACAUGGGGAAACCCUUGAUGACAUUGGCCAUGACUUCAUGCAUAUGAUACCAAAAGCACAGGCAACAGGAAGGAAAAUCAACAAGUGGGACCAUAUUAAACGAAGAAGUGUCUACACAGCAAAGGAAACCAUCAACAAAAUGCAAAGGCAACCUACCAACUGGGAGAGAAUAUUUUCAAACCAUGUUACCAGAUAAGGGGUUAAUAUCCAACAUAUGUAAGGAUCUCCUACAACCAGAUAGUAAAAAGCGACAAACAAAUAACCUUUCUCCAACGGCAACGGAUAUAUGGAAAAAGGGAAAUGCAAAUCUAAAACACAUUAUUAUGACACACAUGUUGCACAUGUUGCAAUGGCUAUUAUUGAAAAAAAAAGCAUUGGUGGGGAUGUUGAGAAAUUGGAACCCUUGUACCCCAAUGAUGAGAAUGCGAACAGCCGCAGCCACUCUGAGAACAGUAUGGAGGGUCCUCAAAAAAUUAAACACAUAGCUACACUAAGACCCAGCUUAUUUGUCCAGAAGAACUGAAAUCAAGACCUCAAGGAGAUAGGCACACCUGUGUUCACUGCAACACUGUUCACAGCAGCCGAGGUAUGGAAACAACCCAAAUGUCCAUCGACAGACAAAUGGUUGAGCAAAGUGCAGCACACGCGUACAGUGGAACACUAUUCAGAGGAUAGAUCUCCUAUGAACUGUUAAUAAAGUAGAAGAAUGAUAAAGGAAAAUGAAAAAUGUUUUCACAGUUGAAAGCAAACUGAACACCACACCGAGAUGCCACUUUACAAUCAGCAGACUGGCUUUAAAAUAGUGAAAGGACUUUCCAAAAAAGUGUCGAGGAUGGGGGGCAAUUGGAACUCUCCCACACUGCUAGGAGAAAAUAUACUUGCAGCUACUUUGGAAAACUGUAGCGUGUUCUUCCAGUCAUUAAAGGUGUGCCUCCUCAGCGAUCCUGUCACUGCACUCGUGAGUGGGACUCUAUCCCAGAGAAAUGAAAGCUCCAGCCGCUUCAAAGCCUCAUGCACAAAAGUUGCUGGCGGGUGUGCUUGUAAUAGCCCAGAGUUGGAAACCAUAAAUGAGGGAAUAAAUUAAAAAACAACUUUCUGAAUCCUUCCAAUGUAAGGAUAAAAAAGAAAAGGGAGGGACCGCCUGGGUGGCUCAGUAGGUUAAGCAGCUGCCUUCAGCUCAGGUCAUGAUCCCAGCGUCCUGGGAUCGAGUCCCACAUCGGGCUCCUUGCUCAGCAAAAAGCCUGCUUCUUCCUCUGGGUCUGCCUGUCACUCUGUCUGCCUGUGCUCACUCUCUCUGACAAACAAAUAAAUAAAAUCGUUAAUAAAUAAAUAAAUAAAUAAUUUAAAAAGAAAAGGGAUACAAAAGGGAUACACUAAAGGAUAGAAAAAAAAAAGAGGGUACUUGCAAUAAAAUGCAGCUGUGGGUUAUUUUAAAAACCACAAAGAGUAAAAAAGUUGGCCCCAGCCCAAAUCAUAGUGUACGGUUCAAAUUUUCACAAAAUUCUAAAAAAUGCACACUAAUUGAUAACAGCAAAAGCAAAUGUAAGGUUACAUGGGAACAUGGGGAAGGAGCGUCAGAGGGGGCGGAAUGAAGAAUAAAGAGGCCUCGAGGAGACUUUGAGAGGAAGGGAGAUACUCAGAAUCUUCCUGUAGAAAUGACUUCUCUGCAUGCCUGUAGAAAAAUGUAUUCAAUUCUACACUUUCAAUAUGUUGAAAUUCCUAUAUGUCAAUUAUAUUCAAUUGUGUUUAA